GAUGAAGAACGCAGCGAAAUGCGAUAAGUAGUGUGAAUUGCAGAAUUCAGUGAAUCAUCGAAUCUUUGAACGCACAUUGCGCCCCUUGGUAUCCCGAGGGGCAUGCCUGUUCGAGCGUCAUUAUCACCCCUCAAGCUUUGCUUGGUGUUGGGGCCUGCUGUAAUAGGCAGCCCUUAAAAUCAGUGGCGGUGCUUCAAGGCUCUAAGCGUAGUAAUUCUCCUCGCUAUAGUGUCUAGUGGUUGCCAGCCAGAACCCCCCAAUUUUCAUGAUUGACCUCGGAUCAGGUAGGGAUACCCGCUGAACUUAAGCAUAUCAAUAAGCAGGA
rnacentral:misc_RNA from 1 species